GAGGAAUAUUGGACAAUGGGCGCAAGCCUGAUCCAGCCAUGCCGCGUGCAGGAUGACGGUCCUAUGGAUUGUAAACUGCUUUUGCACAGGAAGAAACAUCCCGACGUGUCGGGACUUGACGGUACUGUGAGAAUAAGGAUCGGCUAACUCCGUGCCAGCAGCCGCGGUAAUACGGAGGAUCCAAGCGUUAUCCGGAAUCAUUGGGUUUAAAGGGUCCGUAGGCGGUCUUAUAAGUCAGUGGUGAAAUCUCCCCGCUCAACGGGGAAACGGCCAUUGAUACUGUAGGACUUGAAUUAUAAGGAAGUAACUAGAAUAUGUAGUGUAGCGGUGAAAUGCUUAGAGAUUACAUGGAAUACCAAUUGCGAAGGCAGGUUACUACUUAUGGAUUGACGCUGAUGGACGAAAGCGUGGGUAGCGAAC
rnacentral:rRNA from 1 species